CUUCAGGGCAGGGUGUGAUUCCCGACCGGCGGUAUACCCCGCGAGCGAAAGCUGAACUGGUUAGAUUCCAGUGGCGACAGUAAAGUCUGGAUGAAAGAGUGU
rnacentral:ncRNA from 1 species